CAAUAGCGUAUAUUAAAGUUGUUGCAGUUAGAACGCUCGUAGUCGGAUUUCGGGGCGGGCCGACCGGUCUGCCGAUGGGUAUGCACUGGUCGGCGCGUCCUUCCUUCCGGAGACCGUCCCUACUCUUAACUGAGCGGGGGCGGGAGGCGGGACUUUUACUUUGAAAAAAUCAGAGUGUUUCAAGCAGGCAGCUCGCUCUUGCAUGGAUUAGCAUGGGAUAAUGAAAUAGGACUUUGGUGCUAUUUUGUUGGUUUCGAACACCGAAGUAAUGAUGAGAAGGGACAGUCAGGGGCACUCGUAUUCCGCCGAGAGAGGUGAAAUUCUCAGACCAGCGGAAGACGAACCACUGCGAAAGCAUUUGCCAGGGAUGUUUUCACUGA
rnacentral:rRNA from 1 species